GAUGAACGCUAGCGGCAGGCUUAAUACAUGCAAGUCGUGGGGCAGCAUGAAGUAGCAAUACUUUGAUGGCGACCGGCAAACGGGUGCGGAACACGUACACAACCUUCCUUUUAGUGGGGAAUAGCCCAGAGAAAUUUGGAUUAAUACCCCGUAACAUAGCGAUGAGGCAUCUCAUUGCUAUUAUAGCUUCGGCGCUAGAUGAUGGGUGUGCGUAUGAUUAGAUAGUUGGCGAGGUAACGGCUCACCAAGUCUACGAUCAUUAGCUGAUGUGAGAGCAUGAUCAGCCACACGGGCACUGAGACACGGGCCCGACUCCUACGGGAGGCAGCAGUAAGGAAUAUUGGUCAAUGGACGAAAGUCUGAACCAGCCAUGCCGCGUGAAGGAUUAAGGUCCUCUGGAUUGUAAACUUCUUUUAUAUGGGACGAAAAAAGGUCUUUCUAGAUCACUUGACGGUACCAUAUGAAUAAGCACCGGCUAACUCCGUG
rnacentral:rRNA from 1 species